UACAGAGACUGCAAGCGUUAUUCGGAUUCACUGGGCGUAAAGGGUGCGCAGGCGGCCAAGUGUGUGAGGCGUGAAAGCCUGGGGCUUAACUCCAGAAUUGCACCUCAAACUACAUGGCUAGAGCAUUGGAGAGGGUAGCAGAAUUCACGGUGUAGCAGUGAAAUGCGUAGAUAUCGUGAGGAAUACCAGAGGCGAAGGCGGCUACCUGGACAAAUUGCUGACGCUCAGGCACGAAAGCGUGGGGAGCAAAAGGG
rnacentral:rRNA from 1 species